UCUAAUAUGGCAGAAUAGUGCAAUGAAUUUAAGAUUCAUAUAUAAAGUUUUUAACUUUUUUUAGAA
rnacentral:tRNA from 1 species